ensembl:lncRNA
AAAAAGUAUAUAAAGAGAACAGAGAUCAUAAGACAACAUGAUCCUCACUGACAUAUGAGACAGACUUCAUAUGGAGAAUCAUCACAGGUAAAUUUACUACUGCACUAUACUCUUUUUGUUAGACUAUAACAAUAUUUGAGAACUGGAUUAUUUUGCCUAAGUACAUAUUGGAUCACUAUCUGAAUAUACUUGGUGGAAUUUAGUGACCCCGAGACUGAGUCUAUGAAACACAGAGGUCUAAACACCUCUUGAAUACAGACGAAGUGCAGUCACUCAGUGAGACAUCAGGUACAGAUGUGAUUGGCAAUACAAGGAAACAGCAAAGUACCAGUUACAAUAUAUUGAGUCCAUACACAGAGUUGGAAGUGUAUAGAGAUAUUGGAAUUCGGAAUCUAGCGUCAUAGCUGUGAGAAUACCAAUUACAGGAAAGUGACCAAGGGGCUGAGCAUUUAAGAUGGAUUUACCCUACCUCCAGAAUGUUGAUAUUGCUGAACAGGAAGAAGAACCAUGACAGGGCCAGCAGGAAGAAGAUACAGAUAUAUUUGGACCAGCUUCUGUCAGUCCCCCUGAUGUUAACACAAAGAAGCUGACGAACGGCGUAACAGAAUCACCCACCACAACAGGACCAAGCAGCGUGGUGACAGGCAGCGGCAGCAGGAGCUACGAAGUUUAGAGUAUACGACUUGGGAGGAAAUAGACAGGUGGGCGGUCCACCCAGAGAGAGUGCCGGAGCCCGCCUGGGAUUCGCUGGAGCAGUGCGAAGAGGGCUAUAGAAGAAUGGAGUUGAAGAGACAAGCACGGCGGCGCAGAAGGAAGCCCGAGAGUCAGCCCCAAAAAUGUAUUGGGGGGCUCAGGGAGAGUGUGGCAGAGGCAGGGUUCAGACCUGAGCCAACUCCCCCUGUUUAUCGUGAGGAGCAGCGAUCACAGGACUUCUGGACGUGGGAGGAGAUAUUGGACGGAAAAGGACCCUGGACACAGCCUGGAGAAUAUCGCCGUCCCAAGGAAGAACUGGAGGCUGCGGAGAGGCGCUGGUAUGAGGAGGCAGCACGGCGACGCGGAUGGAAGCCUGAGAGUCAGCCCCAAAAAUGUAUUGGGGGGCUCAGGGAGAGUGUGGCAGAGUCAGGGUUCAGACCUGAGCCAACUCCCCUGUUUAUCGUGAGGAGCCAAGGAGGAGACCAGAACCAGAGCCGGUGUUGGAGGUGAGUGAAGCAGAGACUGUGAAGGAGUUAAUGGAGAAAGUAGAGGAGAGAGUUAUGAGGGAGUUGCUAGGUUGGUGCUUUAGGUACGAUAUUUGCCCGACGGAGCGUGUCGGGGAUUUGAUGGCACCUGGGUCAGCACUCCAUACUCGUCCUGAGGUGUGUGUUAGUCGGCUGGUGGAGAUUGUGCCAGCCUCACGCACUAGGCCUCCUGUGUACCUACCUAGACUUGCACAUCCUGUGCCAGCCCUGCUCUCAGGCUCUCCAGUACACCUUCACGGUCCGGUCCAUCCUGUGCCACCUUCACACACCAGUCCUCCGGUGGCAGCUCCCCGCACCAGGCUUCCUGUGCGUGUCCUCGGCCCAGUACCACCAGUGCCAGCACCACGCACCAGGCCUUCAGUGCGCCUCGCCUGUUCAGCGCUGCCAGAGCCUUUCUCCUCUCCAGUGCUGUCGGAGUCUCCCGCCUGUUUAGCGCUGUCGGAGUCUCCCGCCUGUUUAGCGCUGCCAGAGCCUUCCUCCUCUCCAGCGCUGCCGGAGUCUCCCGCCUUUUUAGCGCUAUCAGAGCCUUCCUCCUCUCCAGCGCUGCCGGAGUCUCCUGCCUGUUUAGCGCUGCCAGAGCCUUCCUCCUCUCCAGCGCUGCCGGAGUCUCCUGCCUGUUCAGCGCAGCCAGAGCUGCCAGUCUGCAUGGAGCAGCCAGAGCUGCCAGUCUGCAUGGAGCAGCCAGAGCUGUCAGUCUGCAUGGAGCAGCCAGAGCGGUCAGUCUGCAUGGAGCAGCCAGAGCUGUCAGUCUGCAUGGAGCAGCCAGUCUGCAUGGAGCAGCCAGAGCUGCCAGUCUGCAUGGAGCAGCCAGAGCUGCCAGUCUGCAUGGAGCAGCCAGAGCUAUCAGUCUGCAUGGAGUAGCCAGAGCUACCAGUCUGCAUGGAGCUGCCAGAUCCGCCAGUCAGCCAGGAUCUUCCAGAUCCGCCAAUCAGCCAGGAUCCGCCAGUCAGCCAGGAUCUGCCAGAACCACCAGCUAGCCAGGAUCUGCCAGAGCCAACUACCUGCCUGAGCUUCCUCUCAGUACUGGGCUUCCUCUCAGUACUGGGCUUCCUCUCGGUACUAGGCAUCCCCUCAGUGCUGAGCUUCCCCUCAGUCGCGAGCUUCCCCUCAGUCCCGAGCUGCCCCUCAAUCC